rnacentral:pre_miRNA from 1 species
GAGACACCCUUAGGGGCAAGACUUGCUUCAGUGGGGCUUUAGUGCUAACUGAGUCUGCCCCUGAGUGUGUCCCU